GUCGAGCGCUUCUUUGACCGCAAGGUUGAAGAGGAGCGGCGGACGGCUGAGUAAUAUAUAGGAAUCUGCCCCUUAGUGGAACAUAGCUCCGAGAAAUCGGGGGUAAUUUUCCAUAGUAUCUCGCUCUGCGAGAUUAAAAGCCUUUACCGGUUGCUAAGGGAUGAGCCUGUAUCCUAUCAGGUUGUUGGUAGAGUAAUAGCCUACCAAGCCUAUGACGGGUAGCUGAUCUGGGAGGAUGAUCAGCCAGAGGGGGACUGAGACACGGCCCCCACUCCUACGGGAGGCAGCAAUCAGGAAUAGUCGGCAAUGGGCGAAAGCCUGACCGCGCGACACCGCGUGUAGGAUUAAGGUAUUAUUUAUCGUAAACUACUGUUGGAGGGGAAGAAGAUCGUCGUAAGACGGUUUGACGGUACCCUCCGAGAAAGGAGCCGCUAACUGCGUGCCAGAAGCGUCGGUAAUACGUGGGCUUCAAGCAUUAUCCGGUUUUAUUGGGCGUAAAGGGUCGUGUAGGCGGUUUGAUAAGGUAUCUUUGAAAGCUCGAUGCUCAACAUCGAGUUGGGGAUACAACUGUCAUGACUAGAAUUUCUUUAAGGGUAAUCGGAACUCAAAGAGGAGUAGUGAAAUGCGUUGAUACUUUGGGGAACACCAAUGGCGAAGGCAGAUUACUGGAAGGAAAUUGACGCUGAGACACGAAAGCUAGGGGAGCGAAGCAGAUUAGAGACCUGCGUAGUCCUAGCCGUAAACGAAUGUCUGCUACCUGCAUCUUCAUUGUGCCGUA
rnacentral:rRNA from 1 species